CCACAUGCGCACGAAAGUUCUGGAACAACCGGAAGGAAGUAAAGGCACAGAAGAGGGAGAAGAGGACGACACAAGCAAAGCAUUCAAUUGGAAGGAGAUGAAGACAUCAAGUCAAUUUAUGGUUUUAUCCCAAUGGAUUGAUUCGGAGGCGAAACAGCAAAAGCAUAUCGCCACAGCAAGCCAUCCUCUUCAACUCAUCAGCCACCUUCAGACAAAAGGAAGUUGGUUUGGAUGUUCAGGAGCACUCGAGGAACCACCGAGAUGUUUAAGAAAGUAGCUCCUGCACCAAAAGUGACACCUUCAAGUUCAUCGGAUGAGUCGAGAAGUUGACCAAACCAGACCUGAAUGAACCUCUGCUUUAAGAUGCUACAAGUAAAGGUCUGAUGUUUCAUGGAUGUUCGGCACAAAUGCUUGAAUAAUGAAGGAGCUCCGUCCUAAACACCAUGAACCCAAGGUGUCAAAACGAUGSAGGAAAAGUGACGCAUGAGGGGAAUGGACCUGCAUGGUAGCAGGAAACACAUGGUAAAUAUUUUUUAAUUUCCCAGAGCUGGAUGUUAGUGGACGUGUGUGACUCAGUCAUAUCUGCUCUCUUACAUGAUAUAAAUAAUUGA